CAGCAAAAAGAGAAGGAUUGGCAGUGGCUGUUAGCUCAGGCUAAUCUUCCUCAAAAAACAGAAAAAAACCCUACAACAGCCCACUAAUAAACAACUAGUAGAUGGUCUAUACAUGAUUCAUACUAUUUACAUAUACUUUGGCCACCUCUACCUCAGGAACUUUAUUCCAGAGCUCAUUUCCUUCCCCACUCCUUCCCUAGGAUCCUCCAAAUACAGGAAUAGCUCCUCAAUUCACAAAUGAUUUUCACUUGUACCAUUUGCUGUGUUCUGGGGAUACAGAGAUGAAGAAAAUCAUCUGUACCUCAAGGAAUUUCAAUAAUCAAGAUUUUCCUCAGUCUGGACCAGCUCUGUCUAUUAUUGGACACAGAUGCUCAGCUGGUCGUCAAUCAGCUAUAAUUACACUUUGGAAAAACCUCAUAUGCAAAGAUGUUCAACUUGUCACAGCUAUAAUUUAACAUCUCUUGAUGGUAGUUCUUCCCUCGAUUGACCUUGUGGUAAGUGAGGCUCGGAGACAGGUGGGAGGUAGGUAAGAAUGGCUCUACAGUAGCCCAAUAGGAAGAGGGAGCGGGUUCAAAAAGUCAUGGGAACUGAAGCCAGAGAGCAAAGUAAGAGUGAGUGGGUGGUUAGUAAGCGCAGCAAAUGCAGAUCGACUAAUUUUGCAGGAAACUUGAUAGUGAAGUUAAGGAGAGCAAAGCAUAGUAGCUAGAGAGUGGAUUAGCAGCGAGAGCAGACUUGAGCAUGUCUACCAGAGGAAGAAGCCAGUGAGAAUGGAGAGAUUGAUGAGACAAGAGAGAAGGAAUGAUUGUGAAAAAUUCUUGGAGGAGACAGAAGAGGGGAGGUCAAGAGCUCCUGUGGAGGGGUUAGCAUUAGCAAGGAAGCAGAACGCCUCUUGAGAGACUAAAGUGAGGUAAGAAAGACUUAAGAAGAUAAUUCAUAAUUAGGAAUUGUGAUGGCUAAUUUUAUGUGUCAACUUGGCCAGGCUAUGGUACCCAAUUGUUUGGUCAAACACCAUUCUAGAUUUUGUCGUGAAGGUAUUCUUUUAGUUGCGAUUAACAUUUAAAUCUGCAAACUCUAAGUAAAACAGAUUGCUUUUCAUAAGGUGGGUGGGCCUCAUCCAAUCAGUUGCAGGCCUUAAGAGCAAAGACUGAGGUUCCCCAAGAAAGAAGGAAUUCUGCUUCCAGACUGCUUUUGGACUUGACCUGCAACAUCAACUCUUCCCUGGGUCUUCAGCCUGUUGGCCUGCUCUGCAAAAUUUGGACUUGCCAGUCCCACAAAUGUGUAAACUAAUUCCUCAAAAUAAAUCUCAUUCUCUCUCUAUCUGUUGGUUUGCAACCUUGGGCGUUUCCCUGGGUGAAAUCUGUAGCUGGUCCUCAUAUACAGAGGGCAAGGAAAGACCGAAGAAAGAGGCAGACCACUCCAGCUUGGUAGAUGUCAGGUUUAAUAUGCAAAGAAACCUACUUAUGAGGCUUGUCUUGGGUGGGCUCAAGAAGAGUAGAUCUCUGCACCCACCUGCCAGAAUCUUAAAGUUUAUGCAGAGGCCUUAACAGAGUUCAGUCACAGUCCAGAUGGUCUCAAUUACACAUUGGUCUCUCAAGGCUGCAUUCUUGAAGUGGCUCCUAGUGUAAGAAUAGUGGGUACACCAUACAUUCCAAGGAUGGGGGCAGGGUAAGGCGCCUCUGAUGGCUCGAGCCUAGCUUGAGGGUCACCUGGCAGUCACAUCCUCUCAAUGACCUCCUCCAACAAUAUAUACACAUCCUACUGGUUCUGUUUCUCUGGAGAACCCUGACUGAUACAUAGAUUCAGGAUGGAGUGGAAGGGUUUUGAAGAUGCUCAUGUUAGCGAUGUCAAUAUUUUUUGGUAAAAUGGGAGACUAAGAUUUAUGAUGAAAGUGAGGAGUAGGCUUGAAAGUGGAAGAGUUUCCAAAGAAUUUUUAGGUGGGUACAGGAGACUAUAAAUUCUUCCAGAACAGGGAGCCUAUGUUAUUCCUUUUGUAUCCUAAAAUCAUAGCACAAUAGUUGGCAUCAUGAAAGUGCUCCACAAAUGUUUGUUGUCUGUCAAAUAAGCUGAACCAAAAGCUAAGACUAGAUGCUAUGAAUUCAUGGUGAAUAAAUUGUCACAGCUUUGCAACUUUUUGCAAUAACACUGGUUCUCUGGAAGUUGGAUUAGAAAAAGUGAACCGUGGGAAUCAGCACAAUGAGAACUACUGAGAGUCAAGAGAUGGAGAGCAACCAGUAUGGUACUGAGUGGACAAUGCUGUGUGAAAGUGACUGAUGGCGAGGCCCAGGCUGGGUAGAGAAGUGAAAGGAGCCAAGUUGGGAUUAUUGGUCUAGGAGAACUGGAAGGAGCCAAGGGAUCAAACGACUUAGUGAAGACAGGGAGGAUGUUUAAUGGGAGAAGUAGAGAGAUGGGAAGAAGGGAAGUAUUUGUCUGUGAAUUUCAUAGUUCUCAAAGUUAUGGUGGAAGACUAGUUUGGAGUGGCCAAAGUAGGGGUGAGAUAAAGAUUAGGACCAUUAAAAGAGUACACUUUUAUUUUUUCUAUUUAUACGUAUUUAAUUCCUUAGCAUGUGUAUAAUUUAAGAAGGUUUUAACGAAUAGAAAAUAUAGUCAGUAACUGCAUUUCCUACUUUAAUUACAAAAAAUUAUCCACAGUGGCAAGAUACUUCGUUAGGUGCUGGGUCCUUCUAGACAUCAAGCAUGGAGUUGAGUAUUUAGAGCACUGAACUUAGAAUUAAAAGAUGUUAUAAGCCCAGACUUUCCUAUUUGCCAGAUGAGUGAAUUUGGGCAAUUCACAGACCCUCAUGAAUGUUUUAUCUUCCAAAAGGUGAAUGAUAAUGAUACCUUUAGGAUUAUUGUAAAGAUCAGAUGAAAUAGACAAGGCCUCUUUUCAACUGUAAAGUUUAAAUAUUAGGCAAUAUUUUAAAAUAUUAAUUAGACAUGGUACUAUCCUUUGAGGAACAUUCUACUUGAAAAAGAUAUUUAAGGGUUAAUUUUUAGUUAGACCCUGGCAUAAUUAGAUUAAAACAUCUUAUGUUCAUUAAUUUUAUUAUAUUUAAUAAUUUCAAAUAUUCAACAGGACAUUAUGUAUUGUUUAAUACAAUGUAAGCCAAAAUACAGACUUAAAAUGUGCCUUGGUGUACCUUAAAUGUUGUGAUUUUCCUUGUUUUCAAAGGGACAAUUCUUUUUUUAUUGAAGUAUAGUUGACAUACAAUAUUAUAUUAGUUUCGAGUGUACAACAUAGUGAUUCAACAUUUAUGUACGUUACAAAAUGAUCACCCUGCUGAGAAUAGAAACCACCUGUCAUCAUACAAAGUAAUGACAAUAUUGUUGACUAUAUUCCUUAUGCUGUCCAUUACAUCCCCAUGACUUAUUUAUUUUAUGACUGGAAGUUUGUACCUCUUGGUCCCCUUCCCCUGUUUUGCCCUUUCCCCCUCUGGCAACCACCAAUUUGUUCUCUGUAUCUAUGAGUCUGUUUCCGUUUUGUUUGGUUUGCUCAUUUGUUGUUGUGGUUGCUGUUAUUUUAGAUUCCACAUAUAAGUGAAAUCAUACAGUAUUCUUUUUCCUCUGUCUGUCUCAUUUCACUUAGCA